UUUGACUGCAAAGCUUCGUGUGCUUCUUUAUUUCCAAACCACUUCACCGUGAGAUAAAAGUAGAUUCAAAUACACCAGAAACAUUAUUCAAAAAUCACAUUUUUUUUAUUUUCUUACAAGAAUUCAGUUAAUAAAACAUCUAAUCCCAAAGUGAUUGGAAAGCAACACUUCACAAAACAAGACCAAACUACACACCUUACAAAUUAUCUAAGCAAUACCAGUCAUAAACAAGUUUAUCAUUUUGUGCAAAAUUAUAUUAAAUUUGGCUCCAUGCUCCCGAGUGGUGUGACAUGUUUUAAAGUGACUGCGCUGCAUGCCAAUAAGAAGUCAGUAGUGGUUUCUAAGAUAGCUGCGCCGCCUUGUGGUACAUCAGGGUAUUACUUCAAUGCUGCGCCACCCUGUGGUACAUCGUAGUAUUACAUCUAACCAACCAGGGGGCAUUUCUCCAUUCCACUCAGUCAGUCAGUAAUCUCACACAUUCCUUCUUGUAUAAGUGGAUACUCACACAGUACACAAUACAAAUCGACGUAUGAAAAUAGUGUGCGACCAGUGUGUCAUCUACCUAUGAAAACAAUCCUACCAUUUAAAAAGAAGUGUGUUAUAUCAAAAACAUAGGAUACCAUAGUGCAUCAGAUUGUUGUACAACAUUUGCAUCCAUCAUUCUGUUCGUCCAGAACUCUGCCAGAGGCAAAGGAAUUACCCCACAGUAUACAGCACAGUGAAAAACACAUGUUUAAAGUCAGUCAGACAGUUAGAUUGGAGUUGGUGAUUGGAAACAAGCAGUCCACAGACAUCAUCAUAUGGCUAUAGAUGGUUAAACAUGCAGAAGAGAAAGGCAAGUCUUAUUGUACCAAACACACUGUGCAGUUGUUCCUCUUUAAAAGGUCUCAGUCAGUUGUUCCUCUUUAAAAGGUCUCAGUCAGUUGUUCCUCUUUAAAAUGUCUCAGUCAGUUGUUCCUCUUUAAAAGGUCUCAGUCAGUUGUUCCUCUUUAAAAGGUCUCAGUCAGUUGUUCCUCUUUAAAAUGUCUCAGUCAGUUGUUCCUCUUUAAAAGGUCUCAGUCAGUUGUUCCUCUUUAAAAUGUCUCAGUCAGUUGUUCCUAUUUAAAAGGUCUCAGUCAGUUGUUCCUCUUUAAAAGGUCUCAGUCAGUUGUUCCUCUUUAAAAGGUCUCAGUCAGUUGUUCCUCUUUAAAAGGUCUCAGUCAGUUGCUCCUCUUUAAAAGGUCUCAGUCAGUUGUUCCUCUUUAAAAGGUCUCAGUCAGUUGCUCCUCUUUAAAAGGUCUCAGUCAGUUGUUCCUCUUUAAAAGGUCUCAGUCAGUUGCUCCUCUUUAAAAGGUCUCAGUCAGUUGUUCCUCUUUAAAAGGUCUCAGUCAGUUGUUCCUCUUUAAAAUGUCUCAGUCAGUUGUUCCUCUUUAAAAGGUCUCAGUCAGUUGUUCCUCUUUAAAAGGUCUCAGUCAGUUGUUCCUCUUUAAAAGGUCUCAGUCAGUUGUUCCUCUUUAAAAGGUCUCAGUCAGUUGUUCCUCUUUAAAAGGUCUCAGUCAGUUGUUCCUCUUUAAAAGGUCUCAGUCAGUUGCUCCUCUUUAAAAUGUCUCAGUCAGUUGUUCCUCUUUAAAAGGUCUCAGUCAGUUGUUCCUCUUUAAAAGGUCUCAGUCAGUUGUUCCUCUUUAAAAGGUUUCUGUCAGUUGCUAUUUAAAAGGUCUCAGUCAGUUGUUCCUCUUUAAAAGGUAUUGGUCAGUUGCGCCUCUUUAAAAGGUAUUGGUCAGUUGUUCCUCUUUAAAAGGUCUCAGUCAGUUGUUCCUCUUUAAAAGGUCUCAGUCAGUUGUUCCUCUUUAAAAUGUCUCAGUCAGUUGUUCCUCUUUAAAAGGUCUCAGUCAGUUGUUCCUCUUUAAAAGGUCUCAGUCAGUUGUUCCUCUUUAAAAGGUCUCAGUCAGUUGUUCCUCUUUAAAAGGUCUCAGUCAGUUGUUCCUCUUUAAAAGGUCUCAGUCAGUUGUUCCUCUUUAAAAGGUCUCAGUCAGUUGUUCCUCUUUAAAAGGUCUCAGUCAGUUGUUCCUCUUUAAAAGGUCUCAGUCAGUUGCUCCUCUUUAAAAGGUCUCAGUCAGUUGUUCCUCUUUAAAAGGUUUCUGUCAGUUGCUAUUUAAAAGGUCUCAGUCAGUUGUUCCUCUUUAAAAGGUCUCAGUCAGUUGUUCCUCUUUAAAAGGUCUCAGUCAGUUGUUCCUCUUUAAAAGGUCUCAGUCAGUUGUUCCUCUUUAAAAGGUCUCAGUCAGUUGUUCCUCUUUAAAAGGUCUCAGUCAGUUGUUCCUCUUUAAAAGGUCUCAGUCAGUUGUUCCUCUUUAAAAGGUCUCAGUCAGUUGCUCCUCUUUAAAAGGUCUCAGUCAGUUGUUCCUCUUUAAAAGGUCUCAGUCAGUUGUUCCUCUUUAAAAGGUCUCAGUCAGUUGUUCCUCUUUAAAAGGUCUCAGUCAGUUGUUCCUCUUUAAAAGGUUUCUGUCAGUUGUUCCUCGUAAAAGGUCUCAGUCAGUUGUUCCUCUUUAAAAGGUUUCUGUCAGUUGUUCCUCUUUAAAAGGUCUCAGUCAGUUGUUCCUCUUUAAAAGGUCUCAGUCAGUUGUUCCUCUUUAAAAGGUCUCAGUCAGUACACUUAUCAGUGGUGGCUGGUGCCAUCUUGAAUCUGAGGAGGGACUCAUAGUAAUGGCUGGAAUGAAUAGACAGGCAUCAAACACAUCUAGACUUGGUUUCCA